CACUGCUAUCCAAUCCCGGGCUCUUAGAUAUGCGAUUUUCUUCAACUGAUAAGCCAUGAGAGUUAUCCUCUGUCUUGACAAUGUUUAUGUCAGAUGAUUUCUCAGGUUCUUUCGACGCUGCGAACUCAAGUAAAGUUUGUUGCUUUCGAUUUGUUGUAGAUGGUUUGGAUUCGCUGCUAGCUUCUUUUUUAACAGCAGUACUUGAGGAGGAUCCGGCAAUAGCCCUGGGUUUCCUAGUACCAGUGGAUUUACCUCGAGGCUUCUUUUUCGUUCGAUUUACAAAAUCUCUAGAGGAUUGCUCUUCUUCUAACAUUUCUCUCUGAAUAUCAUCCAUAACCUUAUUCCAAGCAUGCUCAAAUGCAUCCAAAUCAUGAAGCCACAAUUCUUUAGGAGUUUUUUUAAUCAAAGCAUCCAGUUCGGCCAUUACUUCGUCCUUUUUCUUGAGAAGUUCCACAUACCGUUCAUAGGUCAAAGACCAUAAAGGCAUUGAAAGAAGGUAAUUGUAGGCAUCUGAAUCCUCGUCUUGCGAAACAUCACCAGAU